UACAGAGGUCUCAAGCGUUGUUCGGAUUCAUUGGGCGUAAAGGGUGUGUAGGUGGCGCCGUAAGUCGGGUGUGAAAUUUCGGAGCUUAACUCCGAAGCUGCAUUCGAUACUGCGGUGCUUGAGGACUGGAGAGGAGACUGGAAUUCAUGGUGUAGCAGUGAAGUGCGUAGAGAUCAUGAGGAAGACCAGUGGCGAAGGCGGGUCUCUGGACAGUUCCUGACACUGAGACACGAAGGCCAGGGGAGCAAACGGG
rnacentral:rRNA from 1 species